rnacentral:rRNA from 1 species
UACGUAGGGUGCGAGCGUUGUCCGGAAUUAUUGGGCGUAAAGAGCUCGUAGGCGGCUUGUCACGUCGGAUGUGAAAGCCCGGGGCUUAACUCCGGGUCUGCAUUCGAUACGGACAGGCUAGAGUUCGGUAGGGGAGAUCGGAAUUCCUGGUGUAGCGGUGAAAUGCGCAGAUAUCAGGAGGAACACCGGUGGCGAAGGCGGAUCUCUGGGCCGAUACUGACGCUGAGGCACGAAAGCGUGGGGAGCAAACAGG